rnacentral:rRNA from 2 species
CGCGAGCUUACCAUGCAAGUCGAGCGGGGAAAGGUAGCUUGCUACCUGACCUAGCGGCGGACGGGUGAGUAAUGCUUAGGAAUCUGCCUAUUAGUGGGGGACAACAUCUCGAAAGGGAUGCUAAUACCGCAUACGUCCUACGGGAGAAAGCAGGGGACCUUCGGGCCUUGCGCUAAUAGAUGAGCCUAAGUCGGAUUAGCUAGUUGGUGGGGUAAAGGCCUACCAAGGCGACGAUCUGUAGCGGGUCUGAGAGGAUGAUCCGCCACACUGGGACUGAGACACGGCCCAGACUCCUACGGGAGGCAGCAGUGGGGAAUAUUGGACAAUGGGGGGAACCCUGAUCCAGCCAUGCCGCGUGUGUGAAGAAGGCCUUUUGGUUGUAAAGCACUUUAAGCGAGGAGGAGGCUACCGAGAUUAAUACUCUUGGAUAGUGGACGUUACUCGCAGAAUAAGCACCGGCUAACUCUGUGCCAGCAGCCGCGGUAAUACAGAGGGUGCAAGCGUUAAUCGGAUUUACUGGGCGUAAAGCGCGCGUAGGUGGCCAAUUAAGUCAAAUGUGAAAUCCCCGAGCUUAACUUGGGAAUUGCAUUCGAUACUGGUUGGCUAGAGUAUGGGAGAGGAUGGUAGAAUUCCAGGUGUAGCGGUGAAAUGCGUAGAGAUCUGGAGGAAUACCGAUGGCGAAGGCAGCCAUCUGGCCUAAUACUGACACUGAGGUGCGAAAGCAUGGGGAGCAAACAGGAUUAGAUACCCUGGUAGUCCAUGCCGUAAACGAUGUCUACUAGCCGUUGGGGCCUUUGAGGCUUUAGUGGCGCAGCUAACGCGAUAAGUAGACCGCCUGGGGAGUACGGUCGCAAGACUAAAACUCAAAUGAAUUGACGGGGGCCCGCACAAGCGGUGGAGCAUGUGGUUUAAUUCGAUGCAACGCGAAGAACCUUACCUGGUCUUGACAUAGUAAGAACUUUCCAGAGAUGGAUUGUGCCUUCGGGACUUACAUACAGUGCUGCAUGCUGUCGUCAGCUCGUGUCGUGAGAUGUGGUUAGUCCCGCACGAGCGCAACCUUUCCUUAUUUGCCAGCGGUUAAGCCC